GAAGGAUGGCCGAGUGGCUGAAGGCGCUGGUCUCGAAAACCGGUAUACUCCUCACGGAGUAUCGGGGGUUCGAAUCCCCCUUCUUCC
rnacentral:tRNA from 1 species